rnacentral:misc_RNA from 1 species
GAUGAAGAACGUAGCGAAAUGCGAUAAGUAAUGUGAAUUGCAGAAUUCAGUGAAUCAUCGAAUCUUUGAACGCACAUUGCGCCCGCCAGUAUUCUGGCGGGCAUGCCUGUUCGAGCGUCAUUACAACCCUCAGGCCCCCGGGCCUGGCGUUGGGGAUCGGCGGAAGCCCCCUGCGGGCACAACGCCGUCCCCCAAAUACAGUGGCGGUCCCGCCGCAGCUUCCAUUGCGUAGUAGCUAACACCUCGCAACUGGAGAGCGGCGCGGCCACGCCGUAAAACACCCAACUUCUGAAUGUUGACCUCGAAUCAGGUAGGAAUACCGCUGAACUUAAGCAUAUCAAUAAGCGGAGGA